rnacentral:rRNA from 1 species
CCUACGGGAGGCAGCAGUAGGGAAUCUUCCGCAAUGGACGAAAGUCUGACGGAGCAACACCGCGUGAACGAUGAAGGCCUUCGGGUCGUAAAGUUCUGUUGUUAGGGAAGAACAAGUGCUAGUUAAAUAAGCUGGCACCUUGACGGUACCUAACCAGAAAGCCACGGCUAACUACGUGCCAGCAGCCGCGGUAAUACGUAGGUGGCAAGCGUUGUCCGGAAUUAUUGGGCGUAAAGCGCGCGCAGGCGGUUUCUUAAGUCUGAUGUGAAAGCCCCCGGCUCAACCGGGGAGGGUCAUUGGAAACUGGGAAACUUGAGUGCAGAAGAGGAAAGUGGAAUUCCAAGUGUAGCGGUGAAAUGCGUAGAGAUUUGGAGGAACACCAGUGGCGAAGGCGACUUUCUGGUCUGUAACUGACGCUGAGGCGCGAAAGCGUGGGGAGCAAACAGGAUUAGAUACCCUGGUAGUCCACGCUGUAAACGAUGAGUGCUAAGUGUUAGAGGGUUUCCGCCUUUAGUGCUGAAGUUAACGCAUUAAGCACUCCGCCUGGGGAGUACGGUCGCAAGACUGAAACUCAAAUGAAUUGACGGNNGNGAGNGCGAGAGACACGAGGAGAGG